GGAGCCAGUCCGGGAUCCCACCUGAAAGGUAGCCAUCGUGUCUCCUGGCCCAUGAUGGUUCCUCACGUUUCCUGUGACUUCGACCAUCUCAGCGAAUCCUGGCCAGAUGACGUCCCUUUCCAAUCUCCUUUUGGGAGAGGAGCAGCUGUGCAGAGCCUGAAUCGAGCAAGCUGCCUGCCUUGUCACUCCCGUCCUCUGAGGGGAGAGAGACGGUCCCUCGCUGGAGCUGAGGAGAGAGAGCAGCGAGCGGGUUCCUGACUCUGAGCCCCGUUUGUCCUCGUGCUGUGAAGCAUAAGCAUUUGUCAGGUUAGGUGAAGCCCCUGUGCCCGACCGCAAGCCACGGUGCUGUGAAGGAUUGUCUGAGUCUAGGUUCCUAAUGCAAAAUGCAAAAUGGGAAUUGAAAUGUACUUGAUGGAAUUAAAACAUUAGUAUUGGCUUUCAGUUCUUGCCUCCCUGGCUCCUGUAACAAAUGUAGGGCAUCUUAAAAAUAAAAGCCAACAAGCCAAGAGAAAACAGCCAGAUGCCUUUGCAAGACAGAGGAGGCACAAAACCUCUCUGCGAGACUUGAGAGUUGAUCUGCCCCAGUGUGAACUCUGGCAACUGUUUAUUCUCUAACUUGGACAUAUACUUUUCAUUUCUUUUAAGUAGAAUGCUUUUAUUUUUACUACGGGUAUGGGAAGACACUGUGACAUGUUGAUAAAUGAAAUAAUCCCGAUUACCACGUUAAGCCACAUGUCGGGAAUUUUAGAAGGAAAAUGCCGUUAAGAAACCCAGUGUAUAUAUGUUUACCCUCGUAUCAAUGUUUAAACAUGUGUAUACACCGGGUCUCUCCAAAGUGGGGUUCGGUGACUGAUCUCUUUCAAGAAAGUUCAUGGGGCAUUUAAUCAGAGUUGGCCUCCUAUUGUCUGUGGACUGGGCGUGGUCCCUGGCAUCUGGUCCUUUACCAGAUAGGUUUGGUAUUCAUCAAAAUGGCGGAACCAACAUGUGUGGUUCUCUACCCCUGGAGGAUGUUCAGGCUUAUCUUUAAUCCCAAAUCUUGGAACUCUAAGUAAACUGGGACAAGCAUGCCUUUUAAGCCCCGGUGAACCCAGAUCCAGUGCCUUAAUUCUAGUUCCACGAGGCUUGAGGACAUCUAUGUUUGGGUUACCACCCUGACGCUCACCAAGGGGCAGGACACUUGGACCAAGGAAGCAAAAUGCCCCAAAGGGCCCCGUCUGGGCUACAGACAUUUCCAUUCACUUAUGUUCAUGACCUUUCCGGCAAUCUCAAUGGAAAGCUAAGAAAGCCAUGGUAAACUUCUCUAAGGGGUUUCUUUCUCCCCGCCAUCUUGAAACCUGGCUCUUCAGACAUCUGUCUGGUGUGGAGUCACGGUUCCCCAGUCUCCAUUUCUGCUAAAUCUCAGUUGGUCCUUAGCCCCAGGAGAGUGAGAAGGUAAACGGGGGAGGUUCAGGAACCAGUGGGGAUGCUCAUCAGGCCCUAGUCGGUCCACCCAGCCCAGAGUUAGGGAAGGAAACCUCCAGCACUCGCUCAGCCCCCACCUCCCAUGAGUCCUGGGCUGGCUUGGGGAUGGCUUAUGCUGAUAUAACCCCAAGGUUUUGGACUCCCCUUCAUGUCACAAGUAGGCUGCUCCUCCAAGGAGCUGAAGAACUGAGCUUCUAGUUCUGCCCUUUUUAGUCCAUAAGAUUUCCUUGGCCUCACACACUCGUUCACUCCAGGUUCUGGAUCCCCAGGUUUCUGGGAUGGCGUCUCACACCCCAGCCCUCUCUCUCCUGAGUUUGUUUCCAGGGUGUUGCAGAGUGAGUCCCUUGACUUUGCCCUGCCUCUGUUCUGAAGAGCUCGGGGUAAUUUCUGGCUAUUUUCCCAGAGGUGUGGUAGUGCGGGCUCCCUGGUUUGGCCCCUGUGGCCGGCACACCCCGCUUUGGGUUGAGACUGAGCGGCUUGGCCCACGGAGCUCGGGACGUUGUCCUGGGGUCUGAAAACUUUCCUGAGACUUGGGCCUGUCUAGGCGAGGUGAAUCUACGACUCUCCAGACACGUUUUGAGUGAAUUGGUUUCAGCUUUCACAAAAUGCUAAUGUUGAUAUUGUUUACGUCUGGCUGCAUUGUUUUUCACUUUAAAAUUACAGCUUUAGUACAUUAAGCUAAUUUCAUAAUACUGUAUUAACUUAAUAUUCCAUAAAUCACACAUGUCAGAUUGCAUUGUUACGGAUGCACAAAACCCAAAUUUACUACUCAAGCUCUCCAAACACAUGUAUUCAUAAUUUGCUCCAGCGAGCCCUGUGCUGCCAUAUAGGGUUAAGGAAUUACACGUUCCAAUGCCAGGCACAGAUCAUGCCUCUCUCUCUCUCUCUCUCUCUCUCUCUCUCUCUCUCUGCAAUUGUUCUCCAUACAAAUUGAAACAAUAUAUUUCCAGCCAUUUUCAUAGUUGUAAUUACUAGCAAAAAUCGUAAUACCGCGAACAUAUUUUAAACACCUGCACUUUUGGUCCAACUCAUUUUUUUUUUUUUCUUUCUUUUAAGCUGAGUGUUUCCAUUUGAAUAAGGUUGAGAAAGCUCACUGGUGGUAGCAAUCUCUGGGUAUGUUUUCUCCUGGAGGAAGAUGAUGACUUUUGACUUGGAAGGGAGAGGUAGAGAGAAAAUGGCAGAAGGAGUUCGGGCGGCACCCUCUCUCUCCAUUCCCCUCUUUGCUCUCUCUCUUCCUCUUCCCCUUGGGGAAAGGGAUUUAAUUGCAGCGAGACUGGCUUUCACGCAUGCUGCCCGGCCCUCUUGCAAGGGUGCAAAGUUCUGUGCCUAAGCCUGGCUGGCUGGUUCCGGGAACAAAGGGAUGCUCUCUGUGGGGGACAUGGCGCUGGGCUGGGGCACAGAGGAGCCUCUGUAGGUUUUUAACCACACACUGUCUAAUCGGGCUCUGACAAGCCCAUUGUAAAUCAAAGGUCUGGUAAGUGGGGAUGCCAGAAAUGUUUGAUCUCCUUCCAAGCCUUGAAACAACUUGCUUAUUUUUUCUGCAGUUUGGCCCCUCACUAAAAUAAAACAUUGAGAGAUGAAUGUUCUGACGGGUCAUUGUGUGUCAAGCUGUCACUCUGUAAUGGUUACAUAUUUCAGCUGGAUUGAGGUGGUGCCGGUUGGGGGAGGUCUGUGAGAAAGAGAGAGGCAGAGAGAUAGGGUAGGGAAGGAGACAAAGGGUAACAAGGUUUCUGCUUUCUCCUUGUGGCUGAUCUUCAUUUAAACCAAACACUUGUCAUGUUCAGGGGAAGUUUUAUAAAUUUUUAAUGAUAUUGGGUACAACUGGUGCUUUGAAAUUUGCUGUACUUUAAUUUUUUCUUCGUUAGCAAAGGUUCACUAAUGCAUUGAAGUGCUAAGAGCGUAUCCUAGGGAUGCCACGAUAAUUGUGUUGUUAAUAAUAUUGUGGCACUAGUAAUGUUCUCCUGGUAAUCAAGGCAUGAGAUUUUUUUUUAAUAUAUUCAGUUAUUACACUGCAUCUCGUACAAAUCAUGUCAAUUACAAUUGCCAGCCUGUGACAGUUAAAAUAAUUGUAUACGUUUUCUAGAAUUUUCCAUUGGCUUGGCUAAUCAAGCUAAAAAAAAAAUCAACACAUUAUUUGCAUUAAUUUUGUUUCUAGUCUAUUCCCACUCCUAAAUCAUUUGUCCAUCUACUUCAAAAGGCAGAACAGUAAGUAUUUUAAUAAUAAAUAUACGCACACAUUCACACCAACCUAAUUUAAGAAUACUUCUAUAGGUCUGGCAAGACGGAAUCAUCCGGUAGGGAUGUUUUGUGUGACUGGGUUUAUGACUUUCAGUGGUGUGCGUGCAUGCUGAGAUUGAGUUCACAUUGCAUACACUUGGGAUAUGUGGAGUCUAUGUUUAUGUAGACAAACCUUGUAAGAACAUUCACUUUAGCAUUUUCUAUUUCUGUAUUCAGUCCGUAGUUCUGUCUAGGUCAGGGAAAUUACACGAUUUCGGUCUUUCCUUUUUGGCUUCACUGAAAUAGCUCAAUAUUCCUCUGCACCAGGAAAUGAUGUGUGUAAUGCUUCGCAGAAUAGCACUGCAAAUUUGCAGCUCGAACACUCGUCUUCCACUUCUAUGAGCUCUGCCUCCUGACCGGCACUGAGGCUUGCUUUAUUUGGAACUGAAAUAGCUAAACACUCAAAAAAGUACUGAACGUGUGAGACCGGCUGCACACGGAGUCCCCUGCAGUGUCUCAGCAAAUCUCCCCGGAGCCUGGCCUCUCUCUCCAUCACCCAGAGUAUACCACCCCCUGUCACGGGCAAGAACGGGGAGGCGUUUUGGUGACACGGAGGCAUUUUUGAAUGAGGGCCCCGGGGUGCACGGGAGGAGGAGACGGGAGGCUGGUGGGGGCGCCCUUUGCUGCCCGGCUGUCAGCAGCCCCACCGCACAUGGGGACGGGGCGAGGUGUGUGGCUGGGGACCGCUCUCAGGCAGACCCUGAAGAGUGGGUCAGGCUGGCCUGUUCCAUCUGCGGAAGGAGGAUCAGAAAGCAAGCAGGAGCAUAGUAAUAUCACGAGGGGCCCUCCAACGGGGAAGAAUGGCAGAUCUUGCAAAAUAAUAGUGGCAGAAGGACCCGAAGAACGACAGGCGGACAGAACAGGCUUAUGUGAGCGGUUUUCCGACAGCUUGGCGAUAUUAUUUGGGCAAUAAUAAAUAGGCUCCCCAAUUUCCGAGGCCCUCCACAGCCCCCUCGCUCUCCGUACCCUUCUAGGCUGGGUUUGUGAUGUCAAGAUUUUGCAUGAGGGUCAGUGGCUACAGGUUGUGAGGGUCAGGGCAACAAAAUAUUUUUUCCCUUUUUAAUGCAAUCACAUUCUCUUAAACAUGGCUUGAACAAAUCAUCUCUCAAAACGUAGAAUUUAUUUCUCAACUUUGCCUGGAGGUACAGCAGAGAGAACAGAUUUUUUUCCUCUCUCUGGCCCUUUGAGUCCUGACCAUGCAGAAUGGAUGGCUUUAGAACUGUACACGGACAGGAAAAUCAAUGCGUCAUACCAGGAGGCUUCAGGGGUUAGGUUCCCAUGUCCGUGUCAACAAGGCUAUUGGUUUUUUUAAUGCUCCAAAGUUAUCACUUCCCGCCUGCAAGAGCCACCACUGUGACUUGUGUGGUCAAACCUUAACAAAAGAAUUUCCCUUUGCCCACCGCUCGGUGGCAUGGAAUUUAAUUACUGCGCGGGGAGAAUUUUUCCAAGUAUGACAGUUGAAAACAAACAGGCAGGCCCCCAACGGCAGACGUACCCAGGGCACCUGGCUGGCAGGUUUCGGAGGGGGUCAUGAUCUCGUUUGAGGCCAGGACACCAUGUCUGCAGCAGGCCUUACCAAUAUGGCUCGAAGGCGGGGGACGCUGUGGGUCUCUCGAGACUCCUGGAGUGCAGCUUGCUGGGAAGGAGGACACCCCUUUCCACCUUUUGGGUGGAUCAUCCCAGUGUCUGUUGGGAUUUGGGGGUGUAAGGACGGGGGGUGUGGGCCUCUCUCCUGCUUUAAAGGCCGCUGUUCCAGGAAGGAUGCUUCCAUUUGUCAAUAGAAUUAUGUGCCAUCUGGUGGAGACCACGUUGCUUCAAAAUAAUACUUGUUGUCAUUAGAUUUUAAACUGAGUAUCCGAAAAUGAGGCCUUGGUUAAACCUCUGUCAAUUUAAUCAGUCCGACGACGGCGUUUGGUUUACUGAGCCGGGAGGAGUCCCCGGCCCCGAUAAGCAGACCCAGGAUUUUUCAGAUUCACCGCGUUUGCGGCCGCACCGGGUCCGGACGCCUCCUAGAUGCUGGGCCGGGCAGGCCCUGUGCCCUCCGAAAAUGGCCCUUUGAUCUGGUUUUCGUCCUGGCCGCCCCCUCCCCCACCGCUUUUCCCUAGGCUGUCCUGUCGGCAGUGACACAGUGCUAACGCCCCAGUGCUGGAGGCCACCGUGAGCAUUGCUCACUUGCAGCGGGCGGAUGAAAAGGCAGUGCAGAUGUAAUUUGUUUUCAAUGGCUGUUUCAAAAGAAUAAUUGUGGUGACAUUGCGGGAUCAAUAUUAUAGAUUUUUGUUUUCAAGUACACUGUAUGUGUGGUGCUAAGGGGAGGCAGGAAAUACAACCCUGCAGCCUGAAUACAAUAAAAAUGGAUUGAGGUCUGCGGGUAUUUGUCGGCUGCUAGCCAUCACGGGUUCGGAACAUCAUUGGUGGGAUUACCGAGUUUGUCCUUUGGGUUGGUAUUUCAUGGUGAAUGUGUGCACAUUUCCUGUACUUUCCGUCUCUUGCUUCUUUGGGGACCUGUUUCCUGAAUUCGUGCAAAGUAACUGGAGAUGCGUUUCCGGAACCCCAGGCUUGGUUUCGCUUGCUGCCGAGUGCAGGUGGCCGGGGCUGGCGUGUCCCCAUGUGCGGCUUCCCGGGUGAAGAUCUGCGGGGGAGGCUGGACAUUUCCACGAGAAAACGUCAGGUGCCAGCCCAGAGCAGAUGUGGGAUGAUUCUGGCAGCAAUGUGUGUCUCCUCCCGCUCUUUGUAUAGGCCCUUCUAGAGGACAGGCCUCCUGCCGGCGUCUGUGGGUCCCGGAUGGAAGCAGGGGGUCUCUGUGACCGUGGGAGCACGUCCCCCAGCUGCCCUUCGGAUUGCCGCUGGUUGCAGCUUCGUCCUUGGACAGCAUGCUCUUCGGAGAAGCACUUUGCUCAGGAAGCUUAUCUUAUCGCUUGAAAAUCCACGAACACCGGAGGAGGUGAUCGGGGCCGCCUGCGUUCAGGCGGGUUUCCUGACUUGGGGUAACUAGACAAAAAUGCAGAUCCCAGGGUGGAAAAUUAUAUGAACAAAGAAUUAGUAAUAAAGCCGAGUAAAUGCAAUGAGAUGUGAAAGCGAGCAUGGUGUGCCGUUUCCCCCCUGUCUUUUGUAAUUAGCCCUUCAAAGAAAUGGAAAUUCUGGCGAAAUACCUUUCUCCUUGCUGGCUUCAAACUGCAAAUGAACAUGACUUGUUCAGAGGUGAGAGAAAGAGCAGGGUUCAGAAGGACACCCGGGAUAGGACAGCUGGAACAUCUGGCCCAAUCGGCUCAUUUGACAGAUGGGGAAACUGAGACAUGGGUAUUCCUGGAGCUCUGGCUGGUCUUCCAGCAAGAUCAGAGAGGCUGCCUAUUCUGACUUCCAACCCAGAGCUUGCCAAAGCCCAUGAACUUGGCUCUUCUGUGGGCUUAUUUUAUCUGGAGAGCGCAAUGUCUUUUUUUGUCCUCUUUUUCUUUUUUUUUUCUUUCUUUUUUAACAUUGAGGAUAAAUAUAAAAUGGAGAGAGUCCCAUAUAAGCCCAGUUUUGCAUUCUUUUGACAAAUCCGAAUAUCUAGCCACACCGGACCCGUAUCCUGUGUGAGUCCUUGGUGCCUCCUUGGAUGGGGCCGUCUCACUCUUGUCACACUCAGCCCAGUGAGCAUUUGAGUUCCCUGGCCCUGUGGUGGGGCCGUCCUGCAGCGUCUGUGGGAGCCGAGACCGAUCUGAAAAACGUGUCAGUUUGGCAGAGUGAAGGCCAGGGUAGUUCUGCUAAGAAAGAAGAGGCUUCCCAAUAUGAACUGAUCAGCACACUUGGACCCCGUGUUAGCACUGUGUGUGCCUCCGUGAUAUUGACUGUCCGGAAGAAGUAGAAACCAAGGGUCAUCUCACAAUAGGCAGAUGCUUACCUUCACGCUUCCUGAGGAUUUCAUUCAAUCAACAUUUGUCCAGCCCCUUGCUUAGCGUUUAGAUAAGAUGGAGCUCCUUCCCUCAAGGAGCUCACAGUCUAACAGGAAAAAAAACCCAAAACCAGAAAUAUGUACUAACUGCUUAAGAUGCAAACAUAAAUUCAGGUACUAUUUAUAGAGCGCCUGCUAGGUACUAGGCCCCGGGAUUAUCUGUUAAGUCACCAGGCAGGGAAACUACCUGUGCAAGACGGCCUCCAGUGACAAAGGCUGCAUUGGUGUAUUAGGUUUGAAUCUCGUUUAAUGUGGAAUUGGUGUCUUAAUUUAACAGAUGUUUAUUGUCGGCUACGAGUUAGGUUUUGUGCUAGAUGCUGGUGCUAUAACGAUGGGCAAAAUAAACAACAGUCAGAUGAUGACACCAACAUAUAAUUCAAACUAAAAAGUGUCAUGAGGGAAGACCAAAGAAGAUUGAGGGCUUCUUGAGAUGUUUGGUUUGAAGUUUGAAGGACGCAUAGAACAGAAGACCCUUCGGUGCAACGGAAUCAGCACGUACAAAGACUCUGGGGCAAGAGAAAGCGUGUCAUAACUCGGGAACCCAAGGAAGAUCAGUGCAGCCAGAACACAGAGAGCAGAGAGGAGAUGUGUAUAAAAAGGAGCUACAGAAAUGAGUUGGUGGGUCGCAGACCAAACAGAAUUUUAUGGUCCAGGGUAAGACAUUUGGUCUUUGUCCUCAGCAGAACAGGAAGUAAGAAUAGUUUAGGCAAGUGUGUGUAUAUAUACACAUGGUAAUGCAAACAGGUCUGUAUUUUAAAAUGA